GGUCAUUCGAAACCGCUGAUGUGCCGACGACUCCUCGCCUAUGUUCCUCAAUCUGUAGCCGCGAGAAACUGAAAGAGCCAUGGUUCUCUCUGUACAUAAAGAAAUAUUCUCAAUUUCAUGCUUUGAGGACGCAAGGAUGUGAAUCAACAUAGUGCAGAUGCCAAUAACAUGCAAAGAUGCCAAGGUUAGUGCAAUUGUGGAGAUAUUGUUUUAUUCUGAAGUGUCAUAUUAUUGUUUCAGCAUUUGACCAUGUGAGAGGGACUCACAAUACAUUAUAUCUGCAAGCAGUUGCUACAAGAACCUUAGCUUGAUUCAGAAACAUAUGUUGUAUCUUGUAUGAGGUCCUGGAUUAGGACUAUAGGAUCUUCUCGAACACUUGCAUGACCUCCUGCAGCUUUUACUGAUGUCCUAUGAUAGGGAUAUAUCAAAAUCAAAUGGUUCAUCAAUGUAUGUUGUAUGGGGUCCUGGAUUAGGACUAUUGGAUCUUCUCGAACACUUGCACGGCAUCUGAUUGUUGUUGGCGCAUGUUAACUGCACUGAUCUGAGGCAAGCUGCAGUAGGUUGUGUCGUGGUUCUAAGACUGACAGUAGAAUAGGGGGGUAAGAAUGUAGAGGCAAUAUCCUAGUUAUGGAGGAGUUGUACACAUGAGUUUUACGAGUUCAGGCCCUUCUCAGAGGAAGUAACAGCCCUACGUCUCGGAGCCCGGAGGCGGUCGACUGAAUAUAUGCGUGUGAAUUACAGAAAGUGCGAACCCCUAUCCCAGAGGAGGGGGUGGCUUAUAUAGAGUACGCUAGGACCCCAGCUCCCCUCCAUUACACAAGGUUCAAUGCUCAUAAAGGAGGGGCAUUACUGGUAACGUCUGCAAUAAAGUGUUGUAAAUGCCCAUAAAGCUAUGGUUUAAGUCCUGACCGUUGCAGAGUGGAGGGUUUCUCAUCUUCUGGUGGUCGAGUGUCUUCAAGGUGGUCGAGUGAGCACAUCUUCACGGUCGAGUGGAUGAUGGUUUCUCUUCGACUGCUUCUGAUUCUUUGUAGAGAUGUCCUUGGGGAGGGUAUGUUGGACAGAUCCAUGACCCUACCCUAAGUACAUAGCUUCAUCAUUAGCCCCCGAAUGGAUCAGGGUUUGAGUGAGGAAGGAGUUGGGAACACUUCCGACCCAUUCUUUGUGCUAUGAGUAUAUCUUGUUCUAGAACAAUGAGUUGAGGUGACGACGUCGACUCCUUUCUCAGUCGCCUUGGUCCAUUCUUGGUUUUUGUCGAGUGAAUUUCAUGGUAGAAUUCUAAAUGAUGAUGUAGAGGAUGUUUGUCUUUAGUUUGACAGGCUGCUCUGCUCUCCGCGGAUUUCACGGGAUUCGAAUUUUGGGAAGUGCGCCAGAUGGACGGAACCGAGGUUAUCGGGAUGGAUUAGGCAAGUCUCAUCGAUCCCCGCGCCACCUUUUUCGCCACGUACUACGCGCGCGAUUGUUACGGGAUUUGUUUAGAUCGUCUGGGUCCACCAGCCAGUCACUCAGGGGACGACCUUAUAAAAGGCCUCGGACUAGGAAUCUUCCCCAUGCGCUCCCAUUCUCUCUUCUUCUUCUCCCGAUCUCUCCGCCACACUCGCUUCCGCCCUCGUCGACGGACUCUCGCUCGAGCUCGACUCGUCGCCAUGGGGAAAGAGAAUACGGUGACGCUGGAGCGCGCGAAGAAGGCGACCGUGAAGGCGAAGGGCAAGCGGACCAGCCGGGGUGGAUCCUCGUCGAGAUCCGGCCUGCCGCCAGGCUGGAUCCAGGGCGACUGGAUCCGCUCGGGAAUCACCCAGGAUGACCUCGACGACCUGGUGGAGGGGGGACUGAUCCCCCACAAAUCGGCACAGACCCGGGGAACGAAACCGAGCCGCAGCCAAGGGAGGGUGAGUGUGUUCUCCUCGCCACCCACGUAGAUCGCGGAUUCUCACUGCCUCCCCAUCCUUUCUUCCGGGGUUUUUUGAAUUUCUUUGGGGCUCAACUUCACCAUUUCACUCCAAACACUAUAGUCUAUCUGGCUGCUUUUGUGUCGAUGUGUGAAAAUUUCUUAGGCUGUCGACCACACUGGGGUCUUUUCAAACACAUCUUCACCUGCCACUCCCAGUCGGUCAAAAAGGCCAAUCCGAGUGACGAGAGGACACAAGUGAUCCAGAUGUGCGGGGGUUCGGGGAUCCAGAUGAGGAGCAAGAGUACCUUCCCAGCCAUGAUCCUUCCUGACUCGAUCCGGGGCUGGCAGUCGACUUGGUUCUACUGCAAGGAUCAGCCAACACCGGGUCAGUCGACUGGACUUCCUCCCUUUUCCUUGGCUCGAGUGGAGAAGCCCGCUCCCCUGAAGGUAGUUCGAAAAGAGAAGGCGUAGGUCAAGGUGCUGCUCGAGCGGGUCGUCCAACUUGUCCGCGAUGGGGUGACCGGGAUGGACCUGCUGGAGGUCUUUCUCGGUCGACGCAUCCAACCGCUUCAGGCGCGUGAUCAUCCGAUGUGGAUGUACUCUGGACUCGAAGAUUCCACUCGGAUCCACCCGGAGGAUGUCAGCAAGGAGACCUUGGAGAAGUGGUUGAUGGGGAUCACCAGCAACAAAGACAACCCUCGGGGGUCUAGGAGGGUGAUUCCAUUCGACAACUCGCACCAGCCGGAGCAGGUUAUUCUAUUUUAUCAAGUAUCUUUCCGAUUCACCGUGUGACAUCUUGUUUAUGGUCGACUGAAUUUCCUUCGAUCAUUGUCCUUUCAGGCCCUCAUUGACAUGUACUCAAUGCCCAAUGGAGUGUAGGAACAAGACGUCGAGGAAGAAGCGAGCGAGGGCGAGAGCGGCGAGGGGCACUCGGAUGUCGAGGAGGACGAGGAGAGUGACGAAUCGACUGAUGACGAAGAAGUCGACUCGCCUCCUCGCAGGGAGAGGAGAUCCAAACACGCUCACGACCUGGCGAGUGCUCCGGACUUGGUGGCCACGCCGAUUGGACAGUCUUCGAAGCGACCCAGGACAUCUUCCCCAACGCCGACUAAGAAGGCUCCAAAGCAGUCCAAAGUUGUGCCGCCUCCAGCGCCGAAAGCAUCGAAAGCCACCUCCUCCAAACUGCCAAAAGCUUUGCCCAGGAUCAAAGUGACCGUCCCUACUAUCUCCAGGUAUUCAUCUGACUUGUCCUUUUCGUCGACUCGAUUAACCAGACGUAACCGAUUGAAUGCGGGUCUUUGCAGUGCUGCUACGUCAGGAACCUCUUCUCUCCAGUACCGGGACGAGGAGAUGGAAGAUGCGGUAACCUCCAACCCAGGUAUACACUCUUGCGAUUUUGUUCUCGAUUCUUUGGUCGAUUGCAUUCAAGUGGUUCACUUGGGGUCGAAUGAUCUGCCUUGCAGCUCCACCCAACAUCAUCGAUCUUCCAUAUGACGGUGAAGAUGUGGCUCUUAUGCCCAGGAAGAGCAAUAAGGUAGCAGCUGGUAGGAUGUCUCGGCAAGAACCAACUACGACACCUCCCAUCCGUCAGCUUGAAGACGCGGGCAGGGCCUCUGUGACCUUCGCUGCAUCCUUGUCGAGUGAGCACUCCACACCACCGACUGCGCCUGUGAUUCCUCCAGUCGUCCAACUCCACGCCACGGAGCUCCAAGCCGCCGCACCUGGGUCGUCUGGUCACUUUUUCACCAGCUACCCCGUCCCGGACAACCAGUCGGAAGCUACUGAGGAAGCCGUCCGACAGGCUGACAUGAUGAUGGAGCGGGUGAAGACGAUGCAUGAGAACAGCCAGGCUGCCUACGACGCUAGUGCUGCUCUUCGGGCCAAUGUCCAGGUGAGUAGACUCUCUGACAGUUUUUGCUCUAUGAGGAAAUAUUACUCGAAAAAUCUUCUUCUACACAAUCUCCUGUUGUGUGCGUCGAAUUAGAGCACCCGCUGGGUGUUUUGUUGUUUUUGGUAGUUUCGCUCUUCCACUCGGUUUGGGCGAGUGGGAUCUGAACUGGUGGGGGCACACUAAGUGCACCCACUGGGUGUAGUCCCCGAGACCGCGGUCGACUGCUGGCAGUCGACUGGGGUCUGAGUUCUACUUUCCUUUCUUUUUCACUCCUUACGCUUGACUUAGGUGGACCGGUCGAGUAGGAUCCGAACCGGUGGGGGCAUGCCAAGUGCACCCACUGGGUGUAGUCCCCGAGAUCGCAGUCGACUGCUCGCAAUCGGCUAUGGUCUGAAUAGCUUUUUUUGACUUGGUCCGGGCGGACCGGACGAGUUGAGUCUUAGUCAGUGGGGGCACGCCAAGUGCACCCAUUGGGUGUAGCCCCUGAGACCGCAGUCGACUAUGUGCAGUUGGCUGGGGUCUAAGCGAUCUUCUUUAGGUUUUAUUCACUUGGAAGUAAACAACCUUUGAUAUUAUCGACUGAUCCGUCUUUUGCCUUCUGUAGAAGCCUUGUACUCUUAUUUCUAAGUUUGUUGUGCUUGAGGAGAAGCAGAGGCAACUCAACCUCGACUUGGAAUUGGCCCAGUAGAAUCUGAAGAAAGCUCAAGGCGAAGCCGCUGGUAUGGAAGGUAACUGACUGUCGACUGACUUUCAAUAUAUUUCUUUGAUCUCUUCUUUGAUUCAAUUGUUUCUUUUGCAGAGAAAAUGAUUUAGCUCUGGAGAAGAAGGACUCGGACCUCGCCGCCGCGCAAAAAGCAUCCAAAGAUAAAACUGCUCUCGCAGACUAGAAGCUUGGUUCAAUCGGAAUGAUGUAAGGGGAGGUGAACAAACUAAAAUCUUGUCUUAAUGAAGCUAACCGCGAAGUGACCAGUCUGAAGAAGGACAAGGUCAUCCUGAAUGAAAAGUUGGAGUCUGCGAUCCGCAAGAGGAAUGACAGGGAAGCUUAUCUAAAGACUCUUGCCAAGAAGCUCUAUCCCACGCUGGAAGGUAUUUCUUCUAAACCGACUGUGUUGAUGCUUGCGGUUGGAUCUUGCUCGGUCGAUUCACUAACUUUUGGCUGCAGAAUUCUGCCAAGACUUCGACGAGGAAACUGGAAGGGUCGAGACGGGUCUGGACCCUAUCGCUUCUCCAAUCUGCGACGAAACAACAAUGAACGUGCUCCGACUGGAGUCCCGUAUCGCCAGCGCCAGAAGCUACCUCGUGCGCCUGAAGGAGGUAGUCUCGUGAAUCGACUCAUCGCUUUGGCCGAGGGCGACGCUCCAAAAUGACCUGGAAUCCCUGAUGACUCAACUGAACAAGAUCCCUGACCGAGUGCAAGAAUGGAAGAAAUCCUCCGCCCGGUGUGGUGCUGAUGUGGCGCUGUCCUUGGUGCGAGUCCAUUCCAAGGAGGCUCGUGAAGACAAACUGGCUGCAAUCAAAGUCGCUAACACCAAAAAGCAUGACUUCCAGUCCUUCAUGGAGACUUUCAUUGUUGCCGCCACUCGGAUCGCUGAUGGGAUCGAUCUGGACUCAUUCGUGGAGCCUGCCAGCCCUCCUCCGGUCGAGUGAACAAACUUAUGAAACUUGAAUCUGCUUUAAAUUUGCCUCGGAAUGCCGAGUGAUUGCUGUAACCGUUGAACUCCUUCGGGCUUGGUGCCCAAGUACUUUUGAUUUGCUGCUUGGAACUUUUAGGAUUUAUCUAAAUUUGGUUUAUCUCCGAAUGUGCUUGCGUUUGCCUUCGAAUGGACUUUGCUCACUGCUCGGAACGAUUCGUCGUUCUUGCGGAUAGGGAUGGAGCGGACGUUGUACUUGUGCCAUAGCUCCGAAGGAGAAGGUUGCAAUCGACCUGCACCUCGUCGUGCUUGCAGAUAGGGAUGGAGCAUAUGUUGUACUUGUGCCGUAGCUCCGAAGGAGAAGGUUGCAGUCGACCUGCACCUCGCCGUCCUUGUGAAUAGGGGUGGAGCGUAUGUUGUACUUGUGCCGUAGCUCCGAAGGAGAAGGUUGCAGUCGACCUGCACCUCGUCGCCCUUGUGGAUAGGGAUGGAGCGUACAUUGUACUUGUGCCGUAGCUCCUAAGGAGAAGGUUGCAGUCGACCUGCACUUCGUCAUGGUAUGUUUCGGACUUAGGCGAGUACUGGACUGCAACUAAGACCCCCGAGUGGGAGGAUUGUUCUCCACUCGGCAGGAUUUUUUCAAACUUAGCCGAGUACUAGACUGCAGCUAAGUCUCCUAGUGGGAGAACUUGGGCGAGUACUGGACUGCAGCUAAGCCCCCGAGUGGGAGGAUUGCUCUCCACUCGAUAGGAUUUUUUCGAACUUAGGCGAGUAGUGGACUGUAGCUAAGUCUCCUAGUGAGAGAACUUAGGCGAGUACUGGACUGCAGCUAAGCCCCCGAGUGGGAGGAUUGCUCUCCACUUGGUAGGAUUUUUUCCAACUUGGGCGAGUACUGGACUGCAGCUAAGUCUCUUAGUGAGAGAACUUAGGCGAGUAUUGGACUGCAGCUAAGCCCCCGAGUGGGAGGAUUGCUCUCCACUCGGUAGGAUUUUUUCCAACUUAGGCGAGUACUGGACUGCAGCUAAGUCUCUUAGUGAGAGAACUUAGGCGAGUACUGGACUGCAGCUAAGCCACCGAGUGGGAGGAUAGCUCUCUACUCGGUAGGAUUUUUUUCAAACUUAGGCGAGUACUGGACUGCAGCUAAGCGUCCCAGUGGGAUGACUUAGGCGAGUACUGGACUGCAGCGAAGCCCCCGAGUGGGAGGAUUGCUCACCACUCGGUAGGAUUUUCUUUCGAACUUAGGCGAAACGGAUUCGCCACUAAGCCCACCCACUGGGGGAUUUCAGAAGUAAAUAAGAACACAACAAUCGAAUGAUAGGACCAUAAGCUCUUGUCUUUGAUAAACAAAUUACAAAGGUGUUCCUUAUUUCAAUUUAUUCAAACGAGUGCUUAAGUAUAAAAGGGGCGGAGCAGCUCCGCAUUCCAAGCCCGUGGCUCGUCUUUCUGAUGCUCAAUACUAUAAAGAUGGUAUGCUCCGUUGUGGAGAACUUUGGUGAUGAUGAAGGGGCCCUCCCAAGUCGGGGCAAGCUUGUGUGGUUUCUGUUGAUCCACUCGAAGAACGAGGUCUCCUUCUUGAAAGGCUCGACCCCUCACAUUUCUAGCAUGGAAUCGACGCAAGUCUUGCUGAUAAAUGGUCGACCGGAUCAAGGCCAUCUCUCUUUCCUCCUCUAAGAGAUCGAUUGAAUCUUGCCGGGCCUGCUCUGCUUCCUCUUCGGAGAAGAUCUCGACUCGGGGUGCGUUGUGGAGAAAGUCACUUGGCAGAACAGUUUCGGCUCCAUAGACCAAGAAGAAAGGAGUUCGUCCGGUCGACCGAUUAGGAGUUGUCCUUAAACCCCACAGAACUGACGGAAGUUCAUCAACCCAAGCGCAUGCCACGUGUCUGAGAUCACGCAUCAGUCGGGGUUUCAGUCCUUUGAGAAUUAGGCCAUUGGCUCUUUCUGCUUGUCUGUUCAACUGCGGGUGAGCGACUGAAGCAUAGUCGACUCGUGUGCCCUGAGAGGCACAAAAAGCUCUGAACUCAUCGGAAUCGAAGUUCGACCCGUAGUCCGUGAUGAUGCUGUGUGGGACUCCAUAUCUGAAUGUCAAUUCUCUGAUAAAACUGACAGCGGUGCUAGCAUCAAGGUUCUUGAUAGGUUUAGCUUCGAUCCAUUUGGUAAACUUGUCGACUGCAACGAGCACAUGAGUGAAGCCGCUCCUGCCGGUUCUCAACGGUCCAACCAUAUCCAGUCCCCCAACAGCAAAGGGCCAGAUGAGUGGGAUGGUCUUCAGGGCUGACGCUGGCUUGUGAGACAUGUCGGAGUAAAACUGGCAGCCUUCACAUGUGUCAACUAUAUCUUUCGCCAUUUCAUUUGCUCGUGGCCAAUAGAAUCCAGCUCGGUAUGCUUUAGCCAUGAUGGCCCGAGAGGACGCAUGAUGACCACAGGUCCCUGAGUGGAUGUCAUUGAGGAUCAUUCGACCUUCUUCUGGUGUUAUGCAUUUCUGACCGACUCCAGUCACACUUUCCCUAAACAGUUGUCCUCUUAUCACACUAAAGGCCUUGGAUCGAUGGACGAUCUGUCGAGCCUCUUCUUCAUCCUCUAGGAGUUCUUUCCUGAGGAUGUACGCAAUGUAGGGCACUAUCCAGUCAGGAGUAAUGGCCAGAACCUCCAUGAUCAGGUCGACCACGGCUGGGACCUCGACUUCAGUCGGAUCUGUGGCGCUCUUAGGUUGCGGAGGAUCUUUAGUAAAAGGAUCUUCCUGAACUGUCGGCGAGUGAAUAUGCUCCAAAAACACAUUUCUGGGAAUGGCUUCUCUCUUAGAACCUAUUUUGCCAAGUCAUCGGCUGCUUGAUUUUUCAGUCGGGGUAUGUGGUGGAGUUCUAACCCCUCAAACUUCUUCUCAAGCUUUCUCACCGCAUUGCAGUAACCAGUCAUGGCUGGGCUUCUGACGCCCCACUCCUUCAUCACUUGAUUAACUACCAAAUCUGAGUCACCAUAGACCAUGAGGCGACGGACGCCAAGUGAGAUGGCCAUGCGCAACCCAUACAUGAGUGCUUCCUAUUAUGCUUCAUUGUUGGAGGAAUCAAAGUGAAUCUGGAGGACAUAUCUGAGCCUGUCUCCUCGGGGGGAUACCAGAACUACCCCAGCACCAGAACCAUUCAGCAUUUUGGAUCCGUCAAAGAACAUGGUCCAGUGCUCAGAAUGAACUUGAGACAGUAGUUGUUGUUUGAUCCACUUGGCGAGGAAAUCUGCUAUUGCUUGGGAAUUGAUAGCUUUCUUUGCCUCAAACUUGAUAUCCAAGGGAAGGAGUUCAAUCGCCCAUUUUGCCACUCGACCGGUUGCAUCUUUGUUUUGCAGAAUCUUUGACAAUGGAGCGUCGCUGACGACUGUAACAGAGUGAUCCAAGAAAUAGUGUGCAACCUUCUUCGUGGUCAUGUAAAUCCCAUAGACAAGCUUCUGAUAAUGAGGAUAUCUCUGCUUUGACGGGGCCAGGACUUCAGAAAUAUAAUAGACUGGGCGUUGAACUUUAUAAGCUUUUCCUUCGUCUUCCCGCUCGACCGUAAGUACUAUACUGACGACUUGUCCAGUGGCUGCUAUAUAAAGCAGUAGACACUCUUUACUGAUUGGAGCAGCAAGCACCGGCUGCGUGGAAAGUAGGGCUUUUAGCUCUGCAAACGCUGCAUCAGCUUCUGGGGUCCACUCGAACUUAUCUGAUUUCUUCAUCAGUCGGUAAAGAGGUAGCGCCUUUUCACCGAGGCGAGAAAUGAAUCGACUUAGGGCGGCCAAGCAACCAGUAAGCUUCUGGACAUCAUGCACAUGCAUAGGGUGUUUCAUUCGGAGUAUAGCGCCUACUUUCUCUGGGUUAGCAUCGAUUCCUCGUUCGGAAACAAGGAAACCGAGUAACUUUUCGCCUGGAACUCCAAACGUGCACUUUGAUGGCAAAAGUUUCAGCAAGGUCAGUCAGUAGGGCGGAACCUUUACGUGACUUGACCACAAUGUCAUCCAUCUAUGCUUCCACAUUUCGACUGAUCUGAGUGAGCAGGCACUUCUGAAUCAUCCACACGAAUGUGGCUCCAGCAUUCUUCAAACCGAAUGGCAUUGUGACAUAACAGAAGCACCCAAACGGGGUGAUAAAAGCUGUCUUUAUCUCGUCGGGUCCGUACAGACGGAUCUGGUGGUACCCGGAGUAGGCGUCCAAAAAGGACAAACGCUCGCAUCCUGUAGUCGAGUCGACUAUCUGAUCGAUGCGAGGGAGAGGAAAGUGAUCUUUCGGGCAGGCCCGAUUGAAAUGCUUGAAAUCAAUGCACAUGCAAAGUGAGUCGUCUUUCUUUGGGACCAUGACAACAUUGUCUAACCACUCGGAGUGGUAAAUCUCUCGGAUAAACUCAGCUGCCAAAAGCCGAGCCACCUCUUCACCGAUUGCCUUUCUUUUCUGGACGGUGGACCGUCGAAGAUGCUCUAUGACUGGUUUCACCUUCGGGUCGACUUGCAAACGAUGCUCAGCCAGUCCCCUGGGAACACCCGGCAUGUCAGAAGGCUUCCAUGCAAAGAUGUCCCAGUUCUCAUGGAGGAAGUGGAUGAGCGCUUCUUCCUAUUUGGAGUUGAGUGUGGUUGAAAUGUGAGUCGGAGCAGCAUUGGGAUCUGUCGGGUGAAUGUCAAUCGACUUUGUUUCACCAGACGACUGGAAUGCUCAAUCUAUGGCUGGCUUCUUGGCCGCAGCAAGUCACUCGGAUCUGCAUUUUUCUGGUAUUCUUGCAAUUCUACCACGACCAUCUGGGCAUCGGCGAUCUUUGAGCCCUUCUGGAAGCACUCUUCUGCCUUCUUCCGACUACCAGAGAUAGUGAUCACUCCUCUGGGACCAGGCAUCUUCAGUUUGAGGUACACGUAACAUGGUCGAGCCAUAAAUCGUGCAUAAGCUGGCCUGCCCAGAAUUGCAUGAUAAGCACUCUGGAAAUCCACAACUUCAAACGUCAACUUUUCUUUGCGGUAAUUUUUGGAAUCACCAAAAACCACGUCGAGUGCAAUCUGACCGAGGGAUGCAACCUUCUUGCUUGGAAUGACCCCAUGGAAACUCAUAUGGCUUUCACUGAGUCUGGACAUCGAAAUGCCCAUUCCCUUCAAUAUCUCUGCAUACAGCAUGUUCAGGCCACUGCCAUCGUCCAUCGGGACCUUUGUCAGUCGAGUGCCUUCGACCACCGGGUCGACCACCAGUGCUUGCCUCCCAGGAGUGGCGAUGUGCGCUGGAUGGUCAGACUGUUCGAAUGUAAUGGCAGUCUGUGACCACUUCAAGUAACUGGGUGUCACCGGAGCGACCAUGUUCACUUCCCUGUUGAUGACUUUCAAUCGACUUUUGCUCUCAACGUCAGCAAAAAUCAUCAGAAUGGAAUUCACGUGGGGAUGACCAUCAUCAUCAUCUCCCUCAUCCUCAGCCUUGUCUGCUUCCCUCUCCUUUUCCUUGGGCUGUUUCUCUCGGAACUGCUGGAUUAGGAGGCGACACUGCCGAGUGGUGUGCUUCGGGUAAAUGAAAUUACCUUCUUCAUCUCUUUUGGUGUGGAUAUGGCACGGCAGAUCCAACACGUCAUUUCCAUCUUGAUCUUUUACUUUCUUGGGGUUCCACGGCCCUUUGGGAUUCCCCUUGAACUUUCCUUGAACCACAGCCAAGGCUUCACCCGGAGCAGCUGGCUCGUCCUUGCGAUUCUGUUUCCGACCGGAGUUUCCUCCUCCGGCUUCAUGGGCGACUGCUUUGUGCUUGCGACUCCAGAGUCGCUCUUCUUCUUCACCAUUGGCAUACUUGGUGGCAAUUUCUAUCAUUCGAGCCAGAGUCAUAUUUCCUGUCCGAUCGAAUUUCAUAUUCAGCUCCCAAUACCUAACGCCUUCCUUAAAGGCACAAAUUGCUUGAUGAUCCGACACGUCUUCUACCGUGUGGUGUAGGGUGAUCCAUCUCCGGAUAUAAUCCCUCAAAGUUUCAUUCGGUUUCUGAACACAACACUGUAAUUCUGCCAAACCUGCUGGCCGUUUGCAAGUGCCCUCGAAUGUUCUGACAAACACUCGGGCGAGAUCUUCCCAAGUAUAGAUGCUGCCAGGCGCUAACUAAUUCAGCCAUGCUCUAGCCGAGCCCUCCAACAUCAGAGGAAGGUGUUUCAUGGCCACUUCAUCAUUGCCGCCACCAAUCUGGACAGCCACUCGGUACUCUUCAAGCCAAGUGUCAGGCUUGGACUCUCCGGUGAACUUACUGACUCCAGACGCCAACCUGAAGUUGGGGGGACUCACCACAGCUCUGACAGCUCUGCUGAAGCACUCUGGACCAGAGACAUGCACCUUGUUGCUGGUUUGCGGAUCUCUGUCAUGGCCCUCUCGGUGAGCUCUGUUUCUGUCGACCAAGCCCUGCACAAGAAUAGAUCUCGCAUCAAAGCCUGGCUCCCUGGAGUCAACUGGAAUACCUUGUCCGACACUGUGAGGGCGUCUGUCUUCAUGUGGACGAGGCACGUAUGACCCACUCCUUGGAGGAGGCGUGGGCACUCGACGGCGAUCAUCGCGAUUGGCACGGCGAUCAUACUGCUCUUGGUUUCUGUACUGAUCACGCCGAUCUCCACGUCCCUCACGCCUCGGGGGCAAUCUGGGCUAUGGGCCGACUGAACUGUGUCUGCGACCACGGAUCUGCUAUGGAUCCUAUUCCGCGAAUGAGAUACGACCGUAUUCUGCUCUCCCGCUGCCCGGAGCAAGGCUCUGAUCUGCACCAGACCUCGGCUAGCUUCUGAUUGGGAAGGUUGGAUCGACUCUGCUAUCCGGGCAGCAGCUGCUAGAUUCUGGAUCGGUGUUCGGUAUACCUGAGUCGGAGGUGGAAAAAGAUGGCGUCGACUAGACUCAGGAGCCCAUUGUCGGGCGCAAUCGUCGAGUGCACGCUGGAGGUUCUCCAGUCGAGUGCGCUCAGCCAGGUUGUCCAAGUGCGCCUGCUCCAGGGCCUGGGCCUCAGGGGUUUCUCCAACUAUAGGCGUAUGCAAUGCAUCCAUGUUCCGGCGGCGAAGUUCCUCCCUCUGCUGCGAGGAGAGGGGUUCGGGGUGGUACUCCUCGUGAACGCGCGACGGAUCGCCGUUCCCCUCGCCUCCGUCUUCCCGGUUGAAGCCAGGAGGGCUGCAUGGUCCAUUGACCAUCAAGACUUCUGCCGCCGGGUCGCUGCUGUCGCACUCGAAUGCGGUCUCUACGGAGCCAGUCGACAGAUCGAACAGGCCGUAGAGAGUUUUGUCGGGCUCGAUCGCCACGACUUGAGGGGUGGCCGACUGGCGAGCCACCACAUGCUUCACCCACCGCUGAAGCCUCGACCGAUCGGAGCAUUUGCUCCGGCGGGCCGCAGGGAGGGGGAAAGCUACUGGAGUCGACUGAUACUGGGUCGACGGUUGCCGCAGGAGGACGCCGUGGACGCACGCGCGAAAGUGCGUCGCCCCGCGGGCGGGGAGCGCGUCGGCGUCGAGUGGUGCCUCCUGAAGCCAAGUGGAGUCGUCGACGACAAACACGAGCGCGCCGAGACAGAUCUCGUGGCCCUCAGCCAAACCUCCGCCUGGAACCAUGAUGAAGGGGAUCGGAAAAAUUGCAACUUCUCCAACAAGUCGCUAAGACACCUGCCCUACGGUGGGCGCCAACUAUCGUGGUUCUAAGACUGACAGUAGAAUAGGGGGUAGGAAUGUAGAGGUAAGAUCCUAGCUAUCGAGGAGUUGUACACACGAGUUUUACGAGUUUAGGCCCUUCUCGGAGGAAGUAACAGCCCUACGUCUCGGAGCCCACAGGCGGUCGACUGAAUAUAUGCGUGUGAAUUACAGAAAGUGUGAACCCCUGUCCCAAAGGAGGGGGUGGCUUAUAUAGAGUACGCCAGGACCCCAGCUCCCCUCCGUUACACAAGGUUCAAUGCUCAUAAAGGAGGGGCAUUACUGGUAAUGUCUGCAGUAAAGUUUUGUAAAUGCCCAUAAAGCUAUGGUUUAAGUCCUGGCCGUUGCAGAGUGGAGGGUUUCUCAUCUUCUGGUGGUCGAGUGUCUUCAAGGUGGUCGAGUGAGCACAUCUUCACGGUCGAGUGGAUGAUGGUUUCUCUUCGACUGCUUCUGAUUCUUUGUAGAGAUGUCCUUGGGGAGGGUAUGUUGGACAGAUCCAUGGCCCUACCAUAAGUACAUAGCUUCAUCAGGUUGGGCCUGUAGGGAUUGUUCCCGAGUUUGAUAUAUCCCUAUCAUAGGACAUCACUAAAAGCUCCACUUUUAUAUAUCCAUAUCAUUGUUGUGUAUAACAUUUGUUCAUGCUUACUUUAUGUGGAAUGAAAAUUACAAUACAAUCCAUGUCAAGUCUUUGUGGUGAUGUGAAUCAGGUUGUCACAGCUAAAUCUCAUUCCGGUAGUGAUCUGCUGUCAUUAACACAUGUGCCGUACAUCAAAUGAUGUGAGAUUGGGAGAUGUUGUCAAAGAGUAUGCCCCACAGCCAUGGGUAUGCAUUCAUUGCUAGAGCCAUGGAUGACCCUGCAGCUUUUGAUUCGACACAACGAGUUGCCAAAGUUCACGCUUCAGAGUUUCAGAAGAUGUGCUAUUCACUGAUUCCUAACUUUCUCUUAUCAGGAAAGCCCUUCUGGAGGUUAGUGAGGAACUUACUAAAGGCACCAUGGAAUAUAUUGUUGUCGAGGAAGUAGAUGUUACUUACGGACGAGUUAACGGAAUGCCAUUCUAAUUUCUACGACAUGAAUAUGUACUAUGUUUCCUAGAUGUUAACUUCAUAGCCUUUUCGUUGUAGGGGCAUUUUU
rnacentral:lncRNA from 1 species